rnacentral:rRNA from 1 species
UGGCUCAGGAUGAACGCUAGCUACAGGCUUAACACAUGCAAGUCGAGGGGCAGCAUUGGGAUAGCUUGCUAUUUCAGAUGGCGACCGGCGCACGGGUGAGUAACGCGUAUCCAACCUUCCUGCCAGUAGGGAACAGCCCGGCGAAAGUCGGAUUAAUGCCCUAUGUUCUUCAAUGCGGACAUCUAAGUUGAAGGAAAGAUUCAUCGCUGGCAGAUGGGGAUGCGUCCGAUUAGCUUGCCGGCGGGGUAACGGCCCACCGGGGCGACGAUCGGUAGGGGUUCUGAGAGGAAGGUCCCCCACACUGGUACUGAGACACGGACCAGACUCCUACGGGAGGCAGCAGUGAGGAAUAUUGGUCAAUGGGCGUAAGCCUGAACCAGCCAAGUAGCGUGCAAGGAUGACGGCCCUACGGGUUGUAAACUGCUUUUAUGCGGGGAUAAAGUGCGGCACGUGUGCCGCUUUGCAGGUACCGCAUGAAUAAGGACCGGCUAAUUCCGUGCCAGCCGCGGC